GGGUCCGCAAGAAAAGUCUGCCAAUUCCAGUUUCAGGACUGGGUGACUUCAAAACCAGUGCCGCCAUCCCCGCGUGUGUUUCUUGAGCUGUUUGAUGCUGUUCAACAGUGGCAACAAAAACGUGGAGACACUCCCAUAACUGUUCACUGCAUGAACGGAGCCCACCAGAGCGGGUUGUUCUGUGCCGUGGCUCGCAUACUGGACAAGCUGAAGGUGGAGCAGGAAGUGGAUGUCUUCCACACGGUGAAGGCUGUCAGACAAAACAGACCACAGCUGGUCGAUAGCAAGGAACAGUAUGUAUUUUGCUACGAUGUGGUUGAAGAAUACGUCCGUAAAUUUGACACCUAUGUCAACCUCCAGAUGUAGGCUUGUGAAUGGACCUGCAAUCCUUACCAAGCAGUUACCACCAUCGAAAUGGAAAUUAUAAGUUACAUGUUGAAAGUAAUGUUAUUUUUAUGGGGAAAGUACCGCAGUGAAGUUUAUAUCAGUAGCUUUCUAUAAAGGAAAAUAAAAACUUUACUAAUUGUUUCUUUAAGAAGAGGGGCAACUGCGGGUACAAACCAACGACAUCAAAACUGUGACAUUUGAGCAGUUGUAGUAAAGAAACAGUCAGGUGAUGGAGCAAUGGGAUCCUAAGGAACAUUUUAAGGUUACAUUUUUUUCUUUCGGAUCAACACUGACGUAGAUCACAGUUGAGAUCAAUAACCACCAGUACAUGUGUGUAGUUACCCAGCUCACCGGUAUGGGUGAUAGAGUGUAUGGUUUCUUUUAAAAUAUGCUUCAAAUUGUUUAAAAGACAAGGUUCGCUAACGGGUAUCAUCCAGUCACAGGAAACUUUGAUUGCAAUUGUUGUCUUUUUGGAUGCCCAAUAAUUAAUGAUCUUUUUCGAUAAGACAGCAGUAAUACAUAUAAGUGCAAACUCCAGAGAUUGAAACAAAUGUGCCUACAGUGUACAGCAUCUUUAAAGGCUCAAGUUAUAGGCUCAAGUGUGCAUUAAGAAAACCCAGCAUUCAAAAUAAUAUACUCGUUAUGGUUUUCAAAAUAAGUAAUCUUUGCUUAAUUAUAUGUAUUUUCUUCAGGUAACAAAGUGCCUACAUUAAUACCGUUCUCAUUGUAACCGAUUCUUGCAAUUUUCCAUUUUAAACAUCAAAGGAAAUAAAG